UGACAGGAACUGGACGGAUUAUAAGAAUGGUUUUGGUUCACCAGAACAGAAUGUCUGGAUUGGAAAUGACGUAAUCCAUAAAUUAACAAAAGAAAACACCUCAUCCCUGUAUGUGUCCAUCACUCUCCAGAAUGGUACAACUCUGUAUGAAAUGUACGAUCUAUUUUCUAUCUCCAAUGAAGCAGGGAAAUACAAACUCUUUCUUGCAGGACCUGCCACAGGGACACUAGGAGACAGUAUGUUGGACACCGGUUAUCGUAACUUCGAUCUGUCUGGGAUGUCCUUCACCACCCCGGACAGGGAUAACGACGGGUGG